rnacentral:tRNA from 1 species
GGCCGCCCGGGUCGCCGGAGGCGCGGUGCUGGCGACGCUGCUGGUCGCGGCGGGUUGGUGGCUGCGCCGCCGCUCGGCCGGGCGGAUCGCCGC